rnacentral:rRNA from 1 species
GAGGAACGCUGGCGGUGUGCCUAAUACAUGCAAGUCGAACGAACAGACGAGGAGCUUGCUCCUCUGACGAUAGCGGCGGUCGGGUGAGUAACACGGUGAUAACCUACCUAUGAGACUGGGAGAACUUCGGGAAACCGGCGCGAAUACCGGGUGAUAUAUUGAACCGCAUAGUUCAAUAGAGAAAGAGGGGUUUGCUGUCACUUAUAGAUUGAUGCGCGCCGCAUUAGCUAGUUGGUAAGGUAAGUGCUUACUAAGGCAACGAUGCGUAGCCGACCUGAGAGGGUGAUCGGCCACACUGGACCUGAGACCCGCUCCAGACUCCUACGGGAGGCAGCCGUAGGGCAUCUUCCGCAAUGGGCGAGAGCUUGACGGAGCAGCGCCGCGUGAGUGAUGAAGAUCUUCGGAUCGUAAAACUCGGUUAUUAGGGCAGAACAAAUGUGUACGUAACUAGGCACGUCUUGACGGUACCUGAUCAGAAAGCCACGGCUAACUACGUG